GACGAACGCUGGCGGCGUGCUUAACACAUGCAAGUCGAACGGAAAGGCGCUGCUUUUGUGGGGUGCUCGAGUGGCGAACGGGUGAGUAACACGUGAGUAACCUGCCCUUGACUUUGGGAUAACUUCAGGAAACUGGGGCUAAUACCGGAUAGGAGCUCCUGCUGCAUGGUGGGGGUUGGAAAGUUUCGGCGGUUGGGGAUGGACUCGCGGCUUAUCAGCUUGUUGGUGGGGUAGUGGCUUACCAAGGCUUUGACGGGUAGCCGGCCUGAGAGGGUGACCGGCCACAUUGGGACUGAGAUACGGCCCAGACUCCUACGGGAGGCAGCAGUGGGGAAUAUUGCACAAUGGGCGGAAGCCUGAUGCAGCAACGCCGCGUGCGGGAUGACGGCCUUCGGGUUGUAAACCGCCUUCGCCUGUGACGAAGCGUGAGUGACGGUAAUGGGUAAAGAAGCACCGGCUAACUACGUG
rnacentral:rRNA from 1 species